AUUGAACGCUGGCGGCAGGCCUAACACAUGCAAGUCGAGCGGUAACAGAAAGAAGCUUGCUUCUUUGCUGACGAGCGGCGGACGGGUGAGUAAUGCUUGGGAACAUGCCUUGAGGUGGGGGACAACAGUUGGAAACGACUGCUAAUACCGCAUAAUGUCUACGGACCAAAGGGGGCUUCGGCUCUCGCCUUUAGAUUGGCCCAAGUGGGAUUAGCUAGUUGGUGAGGUAAUGGCUCACCAAGGCGACGAUCCCUAGCUGGUUUGAGAGGAUGAUCAGCCACACUGGGACUGAGACACGGCCCAGACUCCUACGGGAGGCAGCAGUGGGGAAUAUUGCACAAUGGGCGCAAGCCUGAUGCAGCCAUGCCGCGUGUGUGAAGAAGGCCUUCGGGUUGUAAAGCACUUUCAGUCAGGAGGAAAGGUUAGUAGUUAAUACCUGCUAGCUGUGACGUUACUGACAGAAGAAGCACCGGCUAACUCCGUG
rnacentral:rRNA from 1 species